rnacentral:lncRNA from 1 species
UGCUCUAUCAUUCCACCAGGUAAAAGGGAUACCACAUAAAGCAAAAUCUUCAUACUCAUGUGGAUAGACAUGAAGGCAACCAAUUUUCUCUUCUUCCACAUAACAACAUUGAAGUUUCCUCCAACCAUCCAAGGUAGUGAUUGAUUGUAUCCUAUAGAAUAAAUAUCAUCCCACAACCUAAAUCUCUCAACUGUUGUACAUUUAGCAUAGACUAGAGUGACCAAGAAUGGAUUCCCAUUAUUGAAUGACAGAUGUAGUGUUAAUUGUUGUUCUGAAUCUGAAACUACUCCCACAUGAAUCCCAUCCCGAGUAAAUAGCCAAAUUUGACCAUUGGAGUUGUAGUUGACAUACUACAUGCACAUCCUUCUUUUGCAUUUUUGAAUCUUCUUAGUGUCUUGAAAUGGUUCCAUCAAGGAAAUUAGGAAAAAAUUGUGGUGUCUAUGUAACAUUUGAACUUUAUGAAAUGCAUUUUGAGUUCUCACAAUCCUUAUAUUCAAAAAUAAAGCUUUUGAUUCAUUGAGAAACACUCUUCUCCCCCUCUUAGCCUGUAUCCUUGUUGUCUUUGAGUCACUAGCCAUUUUACCUUUCUUUUUGUUCCCUCUGGUCAUUAUCUGAGAUAGCCAACUUCCUUACAAAUAUUGUUCUCCAGUUGCUCACUUUCUUCUUAUUCAACAUCUUCAAUACUUGCCUCAUUAAAAUAUUCCCUGGUUAUGCUCCCUUGAAUGGAUGUCUUACCAUUUUCUUGUAAAAUUUGGUGUGAAAUAAUUGCAUGUAAAGCUUCAUUAGGUGCAAAUCUUCUAUUGCCCAUUGUGAUAGCCUGAACCUUAGCUAGAGCACUUGUUUUUUGCAGGUUGCUCUCCUUCUCAUUUGACUUCACCCAUACCUAUUUGAAGUAUAUUUGUAGGAGGAGAUCUCCUUCCACUGGAACCACUUUUUGGAGGGGCUCUUGAUAGGUAGCGUAUCUCAAAUCUGGUUCAUGUUGUUGGUAUGCCACAAUCUCUUUUCUAUGUGUUCUCAUCGUCUGUAUGCACCUCUUCUUUUUUCUUUACACUUUCACUAGAUUGAUUAUUUCUUACUUAUGUUGCAGAUGUGUCUCCUUGCCUGUUGACAGUAGCCUCAUCUUCUAUUGUGUUCUCUUCAGUAAUUGAUGUAUUCUCACUUUGUUUGUUCCUUUUAUUACCAAUGUCCCCAUCUUUUUUACUAUCCCCUUGUUGCAUCGAUGUAGUAUUACUUGUUCAACAUUCAUUUCCUGCUGAUUAGUAAAAGCUCUCGAUCAAGUCU